CUACUUACCUGGCGGGGGAGAUACCAUGAUCAUGAAGGUUGUUUUUCCAGGGCAAGGCUUAUCCAUUGCACACCUGAUGUGCUGACCCCUGUAAUUUACCCAAGUGCAGGGAAACUCAACUGCAUAAUUUGUGGUAGUAGGGGACUGCUAUCAUGCUGGG